rnacentral:miRNA from 1 species
AUCCUUGGAAUGCAGAUUAUC